CGGAAGAGGGGUUGAAGGCAAUCGGCAGAUAUGAAAUAUAAUGAAAUAUUACAGCAAUCCCCAUCGUUGUGCUGCACUUCUAUGCUCCCCUACGUCUACGCUCUCCGCACUGACCGGCGCGGUGAAGUAUGGUCAGACGAACCCAACUCGACUCGAACGGGCUUGGCGAGACCCUCAUCCAGCAGCGGAUUGACCAAAGGAGCUGCACAUUUGGCGAUUGAGAUCUCAAGAAAAAACACGUUGACAGCAAAGAUCAAACAAGGGAAGAUGGUCUCUGCAUCACCUUCCAUCAAGCUUCCUGCAAAACGGCGACACUCACCCUUUGACUGGUUUGAGGGUCCAGAUGUCGACACCACUUCUGAAUCUGAGGAUUAAAAGAGAAUCGGAGUUUGUUUUGAGGGACGUUGUUUUACGUUCCAUUGUUCUUGGCGAAAUGGUAGCCAGGGUGGAGACUUUUAGCCACCGCAGUUCAAAUGUUUUGGGUGUUCAGUUUUAAGUCGCUGAUUUUCAUCAAUUUUCAGAGAGGAGGUGGGGGGGUGGACACUUUCGCCGUUAACACUGGUCAACAACAACAACACAACAUGUUUUUCUGGCCUGGACUUUUGCAGCUGUUCUAGACUAAUUUCAGGGUGCCGAUUCCAAAUCUGAUCUCAGAUUUGCUCAAUCACAUCUCAUUUUUAAAUCCUUUAUAUUAAGUUCGCUUGCUUGCUUAGGACCGUGCAAAUCUUUCGGUCGUUUUUUAACCCACUUCCCGUGAUCCAAUCGAGCUGACAUUUUGUACACAGACUCGUUGUGCGUGACAAUGCAUUUUCCUGAAAAAAACAUUUCCUAAAUUUUACACUGUUUAGGGAAAUUUUUAAAUAUUUAAUUACCAAUUGUUUAAUGGUGGCAGACAAUCAUCUGACCCAUAGGUGGCAGCCAUCUCAAGCCAGAGGACGAGAGGACUCUAGCCGCCCCGAUGCCACGCAUAUAAAGGAUUUAUAGUGAAAAACUUUGUUUUUACGGGUUAAUUUUUUAUGCUAUCGGCAUACCCCAUUUUCAUUGAUUUUACCCGAAAUUAACUCUGUCACUUAUGAUAGCAAGUUGUUGCGAGUCAGUGACUGCUUUAGUGUUAAAAUACGGUGCUGUAUUUUUAGGAUAGUGUGUUUAUAAUAUCAUUUUAUGUAGAUAUCCACAUUAAUUUAAUAUUUUUCUUCUGCAGUUUUUAUUGAAAAUGCAAUCUUUGAUAGCUCAAAAACAUUUUGAUUGCAUUUUGAUUGUAAA